UAGAUGUGUCAAACAAUUGAGAUACACAUAUUUUUGUUCUAAAUUAUCUGAUUACUUACAUACAUAGGACUUUAGUAUCCAAAAACAUGGCUAGUGGACUAUUCUUGGUUUGACGUCAUAGCUACGAAAUCUUACAAUCAGCAUGGAAACAAACAGUAGACAGCUUGAGAAGGAUCUAAUAAAGGCUGCUAUUCGGGGUGACAAAAAGAGAAUACAGAGAUGUUUAAAGGAAGGAGUAAAUGUUAACUACAAAAGCUAUUAUGAUAACACUGCACUCCACAUUGCUGUUAUGUACGGACACACAGAAAUUGUCAGAUUGCUGAUUGAUGGUGGCAUUGAUCUCAAUAUAAAGAACUCGG